UUUCCUUUCUCAAAUGGAUCCAUACCAAGUCACCGGGUUCAAAAAUCAUAGGCUUUCGUCCCUUAUUAGCAUGAGAUGCAUAUUGCUCAUUUUUCUUUUCUAGAUGCAACCUAGCUUGUUCAUGCAUCUUUUUAACCAUUUCAGCCUUUUUCUCACCAUCCAAUGAAGCAACAUGAUCAAUAGGCAAUGGUAACAAAUCCAAGGGAGUAAGUGGAUUAAAACCAUAAACAAGCUCAAAAGGAGAGUAUCCACUAGAUGAAUGCACAACCCUAUUAUAUGCAAAUUCUAUGUAUGGUAUGCAUUCCUCCCAAGACUUUAAAUUUUGUUUCACUAAGGCUCUCAAAAGUGUGAUUAAGGUCUUAUUCACUACUUCUGUUUGGCCAUCAGUUUGGGGAUGGCAAGUAGUAGAGAAAAGUAGCUUAGUUUCCAAUUUUCCUCAAAGAACCUUCCAAAAAUGACUCAAGAACUUGACAUCCCUAUCACUCACAAUGGUUCUAGGUAUACCAUGUAACCUAACAAUCUCCCUAAAGAAUAGAUUAGCAACAUAUGUAGCAUCAUCAUUUUUGUGACAUGGGAUAAAAUGAGCCAUUUUUGAAAACCUAUCCACAACAACAAAAAUUGAAUCAUGACCCCUU
rnacentral:misc_RNA from 1 species